CGGGGCGUAGCGCAGCCUGGUAGCGCACUUGCAUGGGGUGCAAGGGGUCGCGAGUUCGAAUCUCGCCGCCCCGACCA
rnacentral:tRNA from 3 species